rnacentral:rRNA from 1 species
UACGUAGGGACCGAGCGUUGUCCGGAAUUAUUGGGCGUAAAGAGCUCGUAGGCGGUUUGUCGCGUCUGCCGUGAAAGUCCGGGGCUCAACUCCGGAUCUGCGGUGGGUACGGGCAGACUAGAGUGAUGUAGGGGAGACUGGAAUUCCUGGUGUAGCGGUGAAAUGCGCAGAUAUCAGGAGGAACACCGGUGGCGAAGGCGGUUCUCUGGGAAUAUCCUGACGCUGAGGAGCGAAAGUGUGGGGAGCGAACAGG